GCACCAUCAGGACAAUAUUAACCAGCGCCUUUAGGUGUGGUGAGAUGUGGCAAGUCUUGCUGUAUCCCGCAUUCACUGAUCGUUAAAGUGUCUGCAAACAAGGGUUUUGGUUACCAAGAACAUGGGCAGUUGGCAAAUACGUACGAGGUUUCUUUUCUUGAUAGUGUCCAUGGUUAUAUUUCUACUGUCUAUUGUUAUACAUAAUGACAAACUGAUCAAAAGACCCACAAUUACAAUUGCUGAGAUUCUAGAAGAGAACUACAGCUCAGCUCCAACUGGGAGAAGACACAAUAACACGACGCAUGGCUCAGUUGGACACGAUGCUCACCACUUCGUAUCAUACGAACUACCAGUAACGGACCAUG